CCUACGGGUGGCAGCAGUGAGGAAUAUUGGUCAAUGGGCGAGAGCCUGAACCAGCCAAGUCGCGUGAAGGAUGACGGCCCUACGGGUUGUAAACUUCUUUUGUCAGGGAGCAAAUUAGUCCACGUGUGGUCUUAGCGAGAGUACCUGAAGAAAAAGCAUCGGCUAACUUCGUGCCAGCAGCCGCGGUAAUACGGAGGAUGCGAGCGUUCUCCGGAUUUCUUGGGUUAAAAGGGUGCGUAGGCGGAAUAUCAAGUCAGCGGUAAAAAUUCGGGGCUCAACCCCGUCGUGCCGUUGAAACUGAUGUUCUUGAGUGGGCGAGAAGUAUGCGGAAUGCGUGGUGUAGCGGUGAAAUGCAUAGAUAUCACGCAGAACUCCGAUUGCGAAGGCAGCAUACCGGCGCCCAACUGACGCUGAAGCACGAAAGCGUGGGUAUCGAACAGGAUUAGAUACCCUUGUAGUC
rnacentral:rRNA from 1 species